UGUGACCCCUGCCACCAGGGAAAGGUC
rnacentral:piRNA from 1 species